rnacentral:tRNA from 2 species
GGAUUUGUAGCUUAAAGAAAGUGUUCCCUUGUCGAGGGAAAGGUUGCCGUUUCGAAGACGGUCAAGUCCG